GAACAGGAAGGGGAUGCGGGCUUUCUCUUCCGGGCCCAUUACCAGAACCACGUUUGUCUUCCCAGUCCUCGGAGCCUGUCAAUCAGACUGGGUCCUUGGGGUUUUCUGAGCUAUAUUUUACAACGCAAUAAUGCAGUUUAGACACAGCCAAAC